GCAGGCGGACUCUCAACCACUGCGUCACCAGGGAAGCCCACUUAGCCUAUUAUUAAAAAGAAAAAAGAAUUAAGAGAAAGAGAGGAAAAAGGAGUGAAUGAAAAUUCUCCUUAAACCCUUUUCUACUUCAGAAAGCGUGCUCCUCUGCACCAAGGACAGGAGAUGUCUCAGCCCCGCAGCCCUCCGCUCUUACAAAGAAAGGAAAGGGGGAUUGUCUCCAGAUUGGCCCAGUUGUAUGCUGUUAGCCUGGGACGAAACAUUCUGUCAAAGCAUCAAAGUUCUUUAAGAUCUUUCCAGAGAUGAGAAUGGAUUUGUCCUUCCUAAGUUACUGUGUCCCCUUUGCCGGAACACAUGAGCAGAGGCACAGGGGGAAUCUAACUGCCACCCCAGCACACCUGACAAAAGGUGAGGCCUUUGGUGGGUGAUGAGGGCAGAGCCCUCAUGGGAUUAGUGUCCUUAUAUUGGGUUGGCGAGAAAGUGCGUUCGGAUCUUCCGUAACAUCUUAUGGAAAAACCCGAACGAGCUUUUUGGCCAGCCCAAUAAAAGCGGCCCCAGCAGGAUCCCUCAGCCCCUUACACCUUGUGAGGCUAGAAGGAGAAGUCUGCAACCUGGGUGAGGCCCUCAUCCCACCGUGCUGGCACCUCAGUCAGAUCACCAGCCUCCAGAACUGUCCGAAAUAAAUUUCUGUUGAUUGUAAGCCACCCGGUUCAUGAUAUUUUUGUUAUAACAGCCUGAGACAGUCAGAAAGUCACCUUCCAGACACACUGGGUUUUUCCUUCAGUCUUUGAGUCUGCAAACCUUGAAUGGGGAAAGUCCCCUUCCCUUCUCUCUGUCCAGGUAGCCACAAAGUGGGUGUUCCCUGAAAACUCUUUCCUGUUGGGGGGAAAAGUGCAACUAGAGGGAAAAAUAGAGGGAAAACGAGAGACAAGUAG